rnacentral:rRNA from 1 species
CCUACGGGGGGCAGCAGUGGGGAAUAUUGGACAAUGGGGGCAACCCUGAUCCAGCCAUGCCGCGUGUGUGAAGAAGGCCCUCGGGUUGUAAAGCACUUUCAGUGAGGAAGAACGCCUGGUGGUUAAUACCCAUCAGGAAAGACAUCACUCACAGAAGAAGCACCGGCUAACUCCGUGCCAGCAGCCGCGGUAAUACGGAGGGUGCGAGCGUUAAUCGGAAUUACUGGGCGUAAAGCGCGCGUAGGUGGCUUGAUAAGCCGGAUGUGAAAGCCCCGGGCUCAACCUGGGAACGGCAUCCGGAACUGUCAAGCUAGAGUGCAGGAGAGGAAGGUAGAAUUCCCGGUGUAGCGGUGAAAUGCGUAGAGAUCGGGAGGAAUACCAGUGGCGAAGGCGGCCUUCUGGACUGACACUGACACUGAGGUGCGAAAGCGUGGGUAGCAAACAGGAUUAGAUACCCUAGUAGUC